ACAGGGUCUUGCUCUGUUGCCCAGGCAGAAGCACAGUGAUGUGAUCAUGGCUCACUGCAGCCUCAACCUCCUGAGCUCAAGUGAUCCUUCCAUCUCAGCCUCCCAAGUAACUGGGACCACAGGCAGAUGCCACCAUGCCCAGUGACUCCGUUCACAUGCUCCCGUCUUGUCAUCAAGCCCUGUUCAUCUCUCACCAUCUCUCACCUGGACCAUUGCCAGUUUCUGAGCUGCCUGCUCUUGAAUACCAGCUUCCUGAAAAUAUCACCAAAACGAUCUGGUCCUCAGACAAAGCAGAGUCUAUUGCUCACUGCAGUAACAGAGAGCUCCGUCUUCAGAGUCUUGGUAACAUUUCGCUGAGAGGACAACCCAAUCACACUGUUUAGGAGAUUUUGGAUUCUGACUAAGGUGAGUCUGACAAUGUGGGGUCUUGGCAAAUAAUCAUGAUGAAAUAGUUUAAGAUGAGAAGACACAGCAAAGUAAGGAUUUUGAGGCAAAGGGUUCAAACAAUCUUAGAGUAUAAACUGCUUUUUAUUGAUGUAACUCUGAAGAUGUUCCUGGAGUAAAAAAAGGAAGUUAUUUGCAAAUUUUACCUCCAGGGUGAGAGCUUCUGGAAUAAGAAAUUUCUGCUGAUGAAGAUCGUAAACUGUGUGGGUGUAGCUGGUUUUGCCUGUCACCUCCAUGCCUCCUAUCUCAAACUCUUCCACUUCGUUAGCAACAGCAACAAUAAUAACAAUAGUUACAAUAUGAGUAGCAGCAAAUAUUUAGCUCUCAUUAAAUGCCAAGCACUGUCCUAAGCAUUUUACAAAUACUGUCUCAUUAAAGUUCGCCAUAAUCCUA